rnacentral:rRNA from 1 species
UACGAGGGGGGCGAGCGUUGUUCGGAAUUACUGGGCGUAAAGGGCGCGUAGGCGGCGCAACAAGUCACUUGUGAAAUCUCCGGGCUUAACCCGGAGCGGUCAAGUGAUACUGUCGUGCUAGAGUGCGGAAGGGGCUACUGGAAUUCUCGGUGUAGCGGUGAAAUGCGUAGAUAUCGAGAGGAACACCUGCGGCGAAGGCGGGUAGCUGGGCCGACACUGACGCUGAUGCGCGAAAGCCAGGGGAGCGAACGGG